GAUGAACGCUGGCGGCGUGCCUAAUACAUGCAAGUCGAGCGAACCGACGAGGAGCUUGCUCCUCUGAUGUUAGCGGCGGACGGGUGAGUAACACGUGGAUAACCUACCUAUAAGACUGGGAUAACUUCGGGAAACCGGAGCUAAUACCGGAUAAUAUAUUGAAUCGCAUGGUUCAAUAGUGAAAGACGGUCUUGCUGUCACUUAUAGAUGGAUCCGCGCUGCAUUAGCUAGUUGGUAAGGUAACGGCUUACCAAGGCAACGAUGCUUAGCCGACCUGAGAGGGUGAACGGCCACCCUGGAACUGAGGGACGGUCGAGACACUGACGGGAGGCAGCAGUAGGGAAUCUUACGCAAUGGAGGAAAGCCUGACGUAGCAACGCGGCGGGAGUGAUGAAGGUCUUCGGAUCGUAAAACUCUGUUAUUAGGGAAGAACAAAUGUGUAAGUAACUGUGAAGAUCUUGACGGUACCUAAUCAGAAAGCCACGGCUAACUACGUG
rnacentral:rRNA from 1 species